UUGGCUGGGGUUUGCAUGUUUUAUUGGAACUGUUUUAUCCCUGGAGACAAUGGCAGAUUGUUUCUGCCGCGCGCAGAAGGAUCUUGUUCUGGCAGGCCGGCUUCCAGUCAACAAGCUCCACAUCCUCUGCGAGGAAGCAUGCGUGUGCUUUGUUCCGACCUGACUUUCCUGAACCUUUCUCAGCCAGCCCCUCAUCUCGGCCUGCCAUGUCAGUGCUGUGGCAGGCUGUGCGAGCUCGCGCGAAACUGAAACCAAACAGACUCGAGAGUUUGCGGUAGGCACCUAACCCAAGACCGGCCAGGGAAGGAGGUGGCUACUGAGAUCCCCCGGCCCAGCCGCCCUCGACAGCACGCUCCGUUCACACGACCUGACAGAAAAAGCCCUCUUUUCCUCCUACCUUUACCCUGUUCGGCAACCUUCAGACAGCAUGUAUUGGGUAAUCCUAACUGCCCCAGUCAGCCUCGAUGAGCUGCAAUGCCAGCAGGUAGGGAAGAAACCACCCUACAUUCUCCCCUCACCUCCCCAAGCCAUUAUCUCCUCCUGAACAUUGGCUGCACCACAGUUAGGAAGAAAGGAGUCACCCAACGUGGCCGCUAUGAGUUGGUCUCUUGGUGUCAAGAAAUCCGAACUAAGAACAGCUAAUUACCACGACCUCCAUACAGUCACAGCUCAGAAAGCACGACGUACUUCAGCUUAUUAGACCUUUUUUUCUUUUCUUUUCUUUUUGGGGCUGAGCAUGGCACCCACUCAAUUUUCAUCAGACCACCUGGGAGGCAGGGGAAGGAAGACUGCAAGUUCCAAACCGUGCUGGGCUACAAAACAAGACCUUGUCUCAGAGAAAAAAAAAAAAAAGAGAAAAAAAAAAACUACAACAUGGAGAUAGAAUUAAAAGAAGGAAACGAAGUCAAUCAAAGUUAAGGUGGUCACACAGAGGGGAAUGACCAAGCUGGUUAUUAUAGCCCAUUUUCCAGGGUGCCACCUACUGUUGGAAGGUCCAACUGUUUUCAAGUGCUGGUUUCAGUGUCCUACGAUCUGGUUACCCCCCUUGCUGUGGGCAUUGUUACUAUGUUGAACUAUCUCCUGUAACCAUGUGAUGAUAAGGAAUGUUCGCCAAUGGUUCCCGGUUGGCUGAAUAAAUGUCAACACACCCGGGUAGGGCACAGUGGGGUAGGUGGACCAAAGUUUGCAGGCUUGGAGGAGAGUUGGAUCAGGGAAAGGAGACGGGUACUGGAAGAGAAAGGAAGCCGAAAGCCACGAUGGGUUACCGUGGCUGGAUCGGCAUGAACGGCGGAUGAGAGAACAAGCAUUUGUGGGAUUAUGUCUGGGAAGUAGCCCAGACAGAAAUUAUUAGAGCAGAUGCUGUGGGAGGGGGGGCUUGGAGGCAAAGGUAGCUUAGGAGGUAAUCUCUGCCCUGUCCCACGUGAAAUAAAAUAUUCUAAAAUCUA